AUCCAGCUGACAAGUCCAAAAUAGGAUGAUACUCGCGUCCUGGAU
rfam:Schistosoma mansoni strain Puerto Rico chromosome 1, complete genome